rnacentral:misc_RNA from 1 species
GAACCGGCAGGUGGCAGGGGCCUCCGGGGGCGGCGGAGGAGGCGGUGGAGGAGACCCGCGGCUCUCAGUGGCCGGCCGCCCUCGGUCGUGACCCCCUCUCAGUCUUCUUCCGACCUCAUCGCCGACGCCUCAUACCCGACCUCGACCCAGGUUAGGCCCGAGGCACUCGCUCCUCUUCCGCGGCCUCAUGUUGGACAACUCCGUCCAGAUUCUGAUCGCCCUCUUCGGCGGCUACGUCGUCACUUCGGUCAUCUUGCUCCGCAACCCGACCAUCCUCUACAGGAAGAAGAAGAUCAAAUUCACCUGCAGGCACAUCAGCCAUCGCGGAGGGGCUGGAGAAAAUUACGAAAAUACGAUUACAGCCUUUAAAAGAGCUAUCGCGUUAGGCACGGAUAUGUUGGAAAUCGACUGUCAUCUGACUAAAGACAACCAGGUGGUCGUGUGCCACGACAGCAAUCUACUAAGGAACACCGGGCUCAACAAGAACAUCUCCGAGCUCAACUACAGCGACCUGCCGCUGAUAAGCACGACAUUACCCAUCGACUUCGACCCAGGGUCCUCAUUCACGGGGAGCUGUCGAGAAGAUGAGAGGCGGAUACCCCUCCUCGACGAGGUCUUCGAAAGGUUCCCGUCGAUCCCGAUCAAUAUCGACGUCAAAGCUAACAACGACCUCCUCAUCAGGGAGAUCAACAGGCUGAUCACAAACCACAGAAGGGAGGAGAUUACCGUCUGGGGUAGCUUCAGUAACGACAUCACCUACAAAUGCUACCUCCAGAAUCCAAAGGUGAACCUCCUAUUCUCGUUGAGGCAAGUGGUCCGACUAAUCCUCCUCUUCUACACAGGCCUCCUUCCUUUCUUCCCCAUUAAGGAGACCCACUUGGAGAUUUUCCAGCCGUCUAUGUACCUCAAACCAGCAUGGAGAAGUCACUCAAGGGAGAGAGAGGGAAAUUUCAUGAUGACUUUGCCAACAUUUUUAGUCCACACAAUGGACUAUUUACUAAUGAGUAAAAUUUUAUUCGCUCAUUUAAGAAAACGAGGAAUUCAGACGUAUGUUUGGGUUCUGAACCAUGAGAACGAGUUCAAAAAGGUGUAUGACUUGGGGGUGACAGGGAUCAUGACUGACUACCCUUCCAAGUUGAAAAAAUUUCUCGACGACAACCCGGAUUACCGUUGUACAAAGGAUCCGCCGCAGGCGGACAAGGAAGAGUACUAAAUUGUUCGACUACCCCCUGACAAAAAUUUUGUGAUAAAAACUUAUACUAUCUAUCAAAACCAGAUGUAGCACAAUAUUGUCUAGACAAAUAUUUUGGAAUCACUUUACAAGAUCUCUUUUUAAAAUGAAACCAUGAAAGAUUUAUUUAUUGUUUAAUAAAAAUGACUUUUUUUUAUUAAAAUGAUGUCAU